ensembl:lncRNA
AUUUAAUCAGGACAGGCUGGUAUCACAUUACGCGUAGUUACCGCUACCAGCAGCGCUUUAUUCCUCUUACACCACAGCAAUGCUUCAAGAAAUAAUACUUUUUAUCUGUUUAGAGUUACGUCUCAAGUUAUCAAACGUCCACUCCUGAAGAAUUUUCCUUGCAGCUUUACUUCUGACUGUUCCAAAGUGCCGACACUGGAGACUCCUUCCGAAACGCUAAAUAAACAAACAUCUCCUCACGGAAACUUUCACCAGCUCAACAGUUACACGCGCUUUUUAAUCCGUAUGCGAAACGCACGUCGUAUAAGUCACGUGAACGAGCUGUUACUAUGGAAACGAUAACGUAUCACAAUAAGCGCUUUACCGUAAACCUCGCAGCUGGAACGUUCGCCAGAGCCGCUGUUAUAGAAAAUGAAUCAACACCUUCUGACCAAGCAGAACAGAGGAUUCAACAGUGGCAUGAGACAGAUUAAAAUAUCAGGCGAGGGGCAAACUUUUAAACGUACGACGUAAAUUAGAAGCGAAUUUAAAAAGAAAAUUCCGGAGGAAAACGGACACUCGUUAAGGCUCUAGACAAAUAUGGAGAUUGGAUCGUAGAGACGCAGAGACGGAGACCGGACCGUAGAGACGUAGACACGGAGAUUUGACUGUAGAGACGUACAAACAGAGAUUUGACUGUAGAGACGUACAAACAUGGAGAUUUGACUGUAGAGACGUACAAACAGAGAUUUGACUGUAGAGACACGUACAAACAGAGAUUUGACUGUAGAGACGUACAAACAGAGACUGGAUCAUAGAGAAGUAGACACGGAGAUUGGAUUUUAGAGAUAUACAAGCAGAGAUUGGAUCGUAGAGACGUACAAACGGAGACUGGAUUGGAGAGAUGUAGACAUGGAGAUUGGAUUUUAGAGAUGUACAAACGGAGAUUGGAUCGUAGACACGUACAAACGGAGACUGGAUUGGAGAGAUGUAGACAUGGAGAUUGGAUCGUAGACACGUACAAACAGAGAUUGGAUCGUAGACACGUACAAACAGAGAUUGGAUCGUAGACACGUACAAACAGAGAUUGGAUCGUAGACAUGUAGACACAGAGAUUGGAUUUUAGAGAUGUACAAACAGAGAUUGGAUCGUAGAGACGUGCAAACAGAGAUUGGAUCAUAGAGAUGUACAAACAGAGACUGGAUUGUAGACAUGUAGACACAGAGAUUGGAUCAUACGGAUGUAGACAGAUUAUACAAUUCUGUGACACCUACCUGCCAUAAACAAUGCAAAGACGAUAAAUAAAUGAACAAGGUUCAUAACUAAGGCUUGCCUCAACCUCGUACCACAUUUCUCCCUACAUUGUUUUGAAGAAAAUACCUUUGUUUGUUGGCGUGUCUAAACUCCAAUCAUAAAAACAUUCAAAUAUUGUUCAGGAUGACGACGUCAGCACGCGCUCCCCAUAACCUACUGCGAUAUCAGCAACACAAAGUCCACUACCGCGUUAACGAUGGGCAAACACAACGCGCGUGCAGGGACCUACAGAAACUGAGAGGUGUACGUCAUGAAUUCCCAUGCAGCGAACAAGAACGGACACAGGAGGCACGAGUACUAAUUACCCGUUACAAUAAUAACACCGAUAAUCUCCCAGAUCUACCCGAGCAACUAAUCUCCACUUCAUCCUGUUAAACAAGAGGUCUGUGGAGGCUUUUCUCAGUGUUCUCCACGCGCUAAACACUGUCCAACGGACCGCUAACUCUUCAUUAAUUAGUGAGAUUCAUCAUUUAAUCGUCACGGUUUUAACGUGUGUGCAGUUCUUACUGAAAGAGGACGCAAAGUUCCUAGCCUACACGUGUGAAAGCAUUAAGACAACACCGUUUUUUCCUCCUGGUUUUUUUUCUUCUUCUUUUCUUUUCUUUUCCCACUGAGCAGACAGAAAAACCAAGCGCAUACCCACACUCGCCUCGUGCCAACAACCGAACACAGCCUUUCGAAAUUAAAACCACAUGCAGACCUGACACGGCCUUUGACGGAGGGAGGGGAGUGGGAACAAACCCCCCCCCCAAAAAAACAGAUAAUAACCAAAAGAGGCAAGGUUAUCAGGAAACUGUAGGCUGGUGGAGCUACGGCAAAAGCAGCAGAGUGACCAGAAGAAGUCCUGAUGAAGAUCUGCUACGGAAGGACCCGAGUGACCAGUCUGAAGUGCUGAUGGUACAAGGAAAGUAAAAGCUCCUAUCGUUAAAAGUAAAAAUACCUGUAAUAUCAAACUUCGCUCCUCGUCACUGUUCGCUCUCUCAGCUCUCAAGAGGAAGCAGAUCAGUUGGAAACAUGACAGAGAGAGAGAGAGAGAGAGAGAGAGAGAAGGGGAGGAGGAAAGAAAGGGGAGG